CUUCGGGGGCGUUGGCGAAUGAAUCGCUGGGCCACAGAGGCGCGAUUCCCUGCGCUCGGUUCCCGGCCUCCUGCGUCGCGAGAUGGCGAGGCGCGGUGUCGAGACGAGGAAAGGCAGGGAGAGACGCAAGGUCGUCCGAGGAGGACGUCUCUUGCUGCAAAGCCAAGAACGAAAAGGAAUCUCCACGGGCAGCGUGCUCGCUCGCGGGUACCGGCUUCGACUGCUGGUGAAACAGCGCAACGGGAGAGGACGAAAACGAGGACGAAGACGACAACGAGGCUGAAGGGUGAGGGGGGAGUCCAUCGGGAAAACGUUUGUCCACAGGUGACGGGUUAAAGGCGUGGCCAUCGGAGCUUCGGAAGGCGACCGUGCUGUCUGUUCCCUCUCUGCCUCGCCCUGGUUCCCCUUGGGGCGAGGCGAGAGGAAAGCGUGGUAGGUCAGCACCGAGAUUCGGAAACAGAGCGCGCAAUCUUUCCAGACCAUCUUCGCUGCAGUCCGGCGGUGGAUUCGUCGCCGUCGCGGUGAGCCGGAGAAAGGGCCAGGACUCACUGACGGGUGUCUCCGCUUCCCUGUGAGCGUGUCUCGCCCUCUCUCGCCUCCCGCGGGCCGCGAGCUCUCCCGCGCCUCCAGGAGCCCCAGCGCUGUCGGGCGCCCAGGAUCCGGGAGAUGGCUGCAGCGCGGCUUCGUGAUGCAGACGGCGAAAGACAGUCGACGGCGGCGAAACUGGCGGGAGGGAAAGCGAGAGAUGGCAUACGCGGCAGUGCGUCCACAGGUCGAAAACCAUUGCGCCCGUUUUGCCGGUUAACACAACGUAGCGCCGGUCGGACAGAACGCGGAUCGAGAGCAGGGGGUACGGAAAUUGCUUCGUGGCCGAGAGACACCGGCCGUCGAGCAGCGACCAAACCCGCAGCUUGCUGUCCGAGUGUAUAGACACCAGCACUUCUUCGCUGCAAGCACUCACCAGCGGGGCCGCCGCGACUGCGAAGACGCACUCGAUUAACGGCGCAGAUCCGCCCCACUCGCUGAUCAAAAUCAAAUGGGGAACGAGCGGGAGAGGAGCCUCAAACCUGGUUCCACCUUCUUCGCACGAAGCCCCGGAAGGCGGUGUCGAUGUGCCAGCGCAGCAGCCGGGUGUCGACUCGGCCGGGAGAUCUCCAGGUGCGGCGGCUUCACCACGUCGCGAGGACAAUGGCAGCUGGCGAACGUGUGCAUUUCCCUCACCGCUCACAUCCCUCUGCGUGGCGUCUUCCCGUGCCUGUGCGUCGUCCUCUCUCCCUUCCACGUCUCCCCUGUGUGCACCUGCAGCCGCCAGAGUCCCCCCAGAAGCCGACGGCGUCGGUCGCCCACGGCAUUUGUUUGUCGCCGCGGGAGGAUGUGGUUCAGCCGCUAGAGGCAACGCGUUCGAGCCCAGCCGGCACACGCGGCUUUCGGGGCACGCGAGAGCCGCAUGCACCGCAUUGAGUUGCCAUACAUAGAUGUGGCCUGUGUGUGUCCCUGUCGCCAAAAUGGUGAACCUUGGAUUGACAGCGACGCAGGAAAUGGACGCUUGCAGAGGGAUGUCUGGCCAGAUGAGAGAAGAGAGCCACAGAUGGUGAUCUGGAGAGAAAGACGAACGCAAUGAAGGCGCCGCCGGCGGCGGGACCCCUCCACCAGACAUUUCCUGUCGACGUUGAGAAAGCGACGCAGAGAUUCCUUCGUUUGCAAACAGCCGCAGCGCGGAAAAAGAAGAGCGUCCGCGACGCUAGUUGUCAGAAAGAAUUGGAGAGAGCUGGUGGAUACAUGCUCGCAACCUGUUGGCAGUCGCAGAGAGGAGCUGAGAGGAAAGGCGUUGAAAUAUCCUGACUACAGCGGGGCCGUUGAGUGCCUUCACAUUACAACGCACCGAGGCAUUCCCUCCGCCCUGCCUCCACGGCCGAUCCACGCUCCUUAAACGACUGUCUAUGGUACUCGCUAGAAGACGAUGUCUUGCUAUUUGAGGGCCGUAUUGGCUGUUCUUGCUGCAUGCGUGAAUGCAGGAAUCCACGAAGGAAACGAAUCUGCCGCGCCGACACCGGAUACGCACGCGGGCACCGCCAGGGGAAGGUUCACAAGAAAAACACGACGCUUCCUCGAAUCUUGGCAUCCGUGUGUCUUCUUCCGAUGCAACAUCGCUUUUCAGUAGACAUUCGGAGAGUCGUGUGUGGCAUGGCGUCUAGGAACUGAAAACGACCAGAGGAAAAGGUGUCAGACACAGAUGCAUGUCUUCGCACGUCCGGCACCACGGAUGGGACAGCUGGGGAGGUUUUGCCACAAAUCGUUUCCUGUCCUAAUGGAAGAACCCCGGCGACACAAGCAGGAGGCGAAAGAGACAAAGAAGCUGCAAGGCUAUUUCUUGUUUUUCAUUAAAGUGUGUGGCUCGUUUCGUAGCGGGUCAGCUCACAGUGUAUCUCUCUGAAAGCGCGGCAGGAGAUAAGGGGAAAUGGGAAGAUAAUGGCACCAAGAAGGACGUAAGGCUUUCGUUUCUCGGACGGGAUUUGAAGUGGAAAACAAGGGGAAGAAUAGACGUCGACGAAGCUGUCUGGAUCAACACACACAAGCCCCAGAAUUGCAGUUGAAACAACAGCUUGAAGGACCUGCAUGCGGAUCCUUGAUUUGAUAGCGGCACACGUCACUGGGUCACGUGCUAUGCAUGGAGCCCUCGAGGAAAAAGUACACUAAAAGUGAGGAAAUCGGGAGACUGAAACUGAAAGCGGUAAACACAAGGCGUUGUGUUGCGAUACGGGAAAAGGACCUUUUGCACUUUGGGUGUUCUUUUAGACAGGGAAAUCUGCUCUAGCCGCGUUAAAAUGUGCACUGCUGGUGUAAUGUGAAGACUUGCAUUGUCGCGGUGGCUGACCGCUGGACUGGAGGUUCAACCUGAGCAAGUGGGAGGGGUAUUCUGUUAAAUUUAAAGGCAAUUCUCCCCUGUCGAUGAAAGAAGGUUUACUGAGUGUUUUCCAAUCACUGAGCUUCUUUUAACAAGCCUACCGUUGCCGUGUUGCCACACAAAGUGCCGGGACUCGGCCGGGCGAUAAGAAUUGACAGAACUACAAUGAAACGAAGACGGUGUGCCGCAGCGUCUUGCUUGGGAGUGC
rnacentral:lncRNA from 1 species